CUAAACUUCCUAAUUUUGCUCCUGUUCCAUUAAAGUGUGCUCACUUCCUACAGCUAUUCUGCCCAAAUUGAAGUCUUCCAACAUCCCAGGGUGCAGUGGCCCC